GGGUAGCUGUAAUCAGACACCAUUGUGUUGUAUUAAUUAUUGUGAAUGCACUGAAUGGAAACUGGAAAUCAGCAGGUAGUGGCCUAAGCUCAGCCCUUGUGAAGUUCUAAAAGGACCUUUGAAGCCUAACUGAGUGUUUAUAAACCCUUGGCAGAAAAUUGGGUGAUAGUCUCACCACCACAGCAGAAACACAAGCCGUUAUUGUCUGGCUUAAAGCAGCAGGGACCUCACCACUCCAGCUCUCGCCAGGUCUUUGGUUCAUGUUUCUUGUCUAACCGCCAAUGCAAGGAGCCCUCUCCCAAAGCCUAGAAGCAGCACAAGCUGUCAGCACUAAGGGACCAACACAGCCCUCCGUGAGCGACCACGUACCUGCUUCUCGACCACGGUUAGCAGAACCUUGGCCCCCUCAUAGGCCUUCUUUGCCUGGGCCAACCACAGUAAGAACAGUCAGCACUCACUGAGUACUUCACUCUGCACAGGGCACUGUUCAAAGCACUUUACGUGUAUUAAUGCAUCGAAUGGCCGAGCCUCACGGGAAUGUGCUGGAGAGAAAGAAAGACUGUGGCCCAGAUUCCCACAUGGUUUCUGUUCUCUAUUUCUAGCUGUGCUGUGAAGCUUACAUAACCUAAUUUGCAUUAUGGAACUAUUUUUAAAACCUCCAAAGAUCAGUGCUUCAGCAUCAAUGGAAGCUGUUAGCUCCUACCUACAAUGUGAACGUGGGAAAGGAUAUCUAUUCUUACAGCUACCUCAACUUUAACUCUUGACUUAAAACAGACUUUCUGGAAGAUGUUAUUAGGAAAGGAAGGGGCUCCUUCUUAUAUAAGAAGCACUUAGCUCUGCAUUUUGUAAGUUUGUUCCAAAGAGAAACAAAUUGGUUUGAAACUCCUCAGCACUGGGUCUUGGCUUUACCUCCCAUCUCCCUUCCAGGCCUCCAGGGAGGCAGAGAAUGCUAAGAUCACUAGACAACAUGGCUCAGGAGCACAAGCCAAAAUCCCACCGAACUUUCCUCCUCCACUUCAGAGGUCCCCGGCCUGUCCUGACGAGGCACUGGCAUAGAUGAAUGGGGAUUACUGGACAGGCUAUCUUCAGCUGUAAACUGCUCUUAAUGUCCCCGGCUUGUAGGGCUCGGAACUGCUGAACUCUAAUUGUGCAGGGAAAGGGGAAGGGUGUUUGUCCUUAGUUCUUUGCCCUAACUUACUACCGAAGAUUUUCCUCCACUACAGUUACUAAGGAAAUUUAAGAAACAGGAAAAUUAUCGUGAAUCAUCAACUGACUAUACAGGUAAAAUUCUCAUCAUCUGUCAUCAAAAAAUGUGGUCAGUAUUUAAAGUAACCACUGUGUUCUUCGUUAUGCUAUAAAAACUGAAAUGUCUGUUAUUUGUUUCAUUCAGUUCCCUCACUGGGACAGAUGUCUACAAACAUGAACAAGAGUAGGUUCCAGGCUGUCAAAACUACCAAGAAGAUACUAUAAAUGAGCCAUUUCCAAGGGACACCCAGUCUAGUGAUGUCAGAAGACCCACAUUAUUAAGUUAUAAUUAAACUAUUAACCAAAUUAAUAUUCUUUUGCCACUGCCAAUGCUGUAUUUGUCUCCCAAAAGUAAGAUAUUUAUAAUAAGCCCAAUUCCACCAACACUCAAGACUUAAAAUGCUUCCACUUAGAGCCUCUGUUCACUAGUACCCAGGAAAGGACCUACACGUGAUAGACACUGAGCUGCUGGAGCAGGACUGGUUGCAUCUGGUGCUAGUCAGCAAUACUGUGCACAACCUUCAUUACAGAAGCCAAAGCCACAUUCAAUGUACAUACAGGCUCUGUAUGGGAAAGAAUGUUGUUCCAGCAACCUUAAAAUUAGUAAUAAAAAGAAAUUUCUACUUAAAAACAAAUGUGAGACAUGAAGUUCAUUUUCAUCUAGAUAUAUAUAUAUAUGUUUAUCAAAUACAGCCUUAGCACAGAACAUCUAACAAGUAAUGAAAUAUAUUAAUGGACGCACUGAACAAAGGAAAUCCGGAUGAAAAUAUUUGGCCUAACCCUCACAUCCUUUAACUGUACUCCAUGACUGCUGAAUACGGUGGGAACAUAAGAAAUCUAGCUACCUAAACUGGAAAAGACAGAUGGAUUGCCUUCAGUCUAUUUGGUCUCUGCAGACUCAUGGUUCACCAUUCUGAGUCUUGCUAAAGUCAGCAAAACGAAUCAAUGAAACAUGAAAACUCCCAGCUGAAAUGGGCCCUCUUGUUUAUGUCUAGCCACUAAUGCACAGGAUGAGAAUGGCAAGUUACAACUAUUUCCAGCAAGUGAUGAGGUUUUAUUAAAGUAUCACCCACCAGUAACAAGGCCAAAGGUCAAGGAGAAUAAACAAACCACUGUGUUAUAUCCAUCGAGAAGCAAGAAACACUAUUAUUUGUUUUAUUUUACUCCUUUCACCCUCAUUGGUCCCCAAGGAAAGCUGGCACAUAAAUUUGCCGUAUUUUGUGAUGGGGAUGGUUUCCUUCAAAAGCAUAGAAUUUAGUGGGGAAGAGGAAAGCUAGCCCAUAUUAAAAUCAGACAAUUUUCAAGACAGCAAUUUGCACAUACUGACAGGACACCUCACUGCUGCCUUGGUGGGGGUGAGUACCUUAAUGAAACCAUGACCUUCUAGUAACGUCAUCAGCUUUCCAAACAAGGUGAGGAUGCAAGUGGAGGACUCAGGUCUGCACCCUUUACAGAACAGCACAAUGUUACUGACUAAUCGGUUUCCACCAGUGUAAUCAGGUGUCUUAAAAAUAAAUGCUGACCCAUGGCUGAAACCUGUCACUUGUCACAGCAGCACUCAACAAGAACUGGGACAAUCGAAGAGCAAGUUUUUAUGGGGACCCUGUUGCUGCUUUCGAUUCUGAUGUAAUUGAAGAGGAAAGGAGACCCUUCAAUGAAUCCCAGAAAACUUGCUAAUCUUCUAUCUGUAUGAAAAAGCCAGGAAGUGAACACAGGAUCUUACAGAGUGAAGAAGGCCACAAGAACAAGAGAGGGUGAUUGAUCGAUUAAUUUAUUAAUUUGUAAAACUUGAAAAUUCUGAACUAAAAUAAUCACAUUCCUCCUUCCCGUUCUCUGGGUAGUGCUGUCAUUUAAUAAGCAAUGCUGGGAUAACAGACUGCGACCUUUACCACAGGGGGUGCCCUUGCACGACAUGAGCACAAGGGCUUACAAAGUAGACUGGCUAGAACUAACCAUUGCCUUUGCUUUGUUUUAGCAGUUUGCUUACAAAUGAGUGGAUUUCUAGGGUCAGUGAUUAGUUUUCAAUUCUUUAUAAUUUGAUACCAAAACAUAUCAAAAAUAAUAAGCUAAAACAAUAUUCAAACCCAUAUUUUAUUGGCUUUGAUUACACACUUCAAAUAUUUACAAAGUUAAAGUUUAAAUGAAAAGUCUCUAUUGUAUUAAAAAAAGUAACUACAGCCCAAGUUAAAGUGCCC